rnacentral:rRNA from 1 species
UACGGAGGGUGCAAACGUUGCUCGGAAUCAUUGGGCGUAAAGCGCACGUAGGCGGUUUGCCAAGUCGGAUGUGAAAGCCCUGGGCUCAACCCAGGAAGUGCAUUCGAAACUAGCAGACUUGAAUAUGGAAGAGGGUCGCGGAAUUCCCGGUGUAGCGGUGAAAUGCGUAGAUAUCUGGAGGAACACCGGUGGCGAAGGCGGCGUCCUGGACCAACACUGACACUGAUGAGCGAAAGCCAGGGGAGCAAACGGG